AGAGCAGGGGAGACCAGCACAGACACCUUACAAGCAGAAUGACCUUCUGUGGCUACAGAGAAAGGCUUCAGGCAAAGAGAUGCAGCUCUGGGCCCCAGAGUCCGCUGGAGCACACUGAAGCUGGAGCACACUGAAGUGGAAGAUGGGGCUGCAGACAGAGACUGGGCAGCCUCUGCUCCAGGGAGGCCCGAGAGCCAGAGAGCAGAUUCCAUAAGAAGAAUAACUCCCAUUCCUCAUGCAUGAGACCCUCUGCUAAAUGCUUCCUGUGCACCACCUCCAGAAAUCCUCCCAAGCCAGGACACCAGCAGUAUUACAGGAACUGGAUGACAAAAAGAAGAGCCGAUAUAACCAGGAACCUACUCUGGCCACCCCAAGUGCUCCGCAUCAAGACUCAGCUGCAGAGAUGACUUCAGUGCAAGUCACAUACACACCAUUGGGCUGGUACCCGUGGCAGCUCUGCAGGGCUUCCAUAUUGGUCAUGGAUUUGGAUGGUGAGAAGAGCUGAGACAGACGGCACAGGUUCUCAGGAUGCUUGAGGCAGGCUGAGCUCCACGAGCAGAGACCAGGCUGAUGCAUGCUCCACAUCUUGCAUGCUUUGCUUAAAGAAUGAGCGAAAGGAGUAAAUGAAAUUGGUUCUUUCAAAGCAACAAGAACAUUUGUGACAUAUCUGCUAAGGUGGUGAGGGACAAAGAUGAAGGACUGCAGAGCUGUCUCAUAGGCUCCUUUGAGCAAAGCAUUCCUCCUCCAGGUAAAGUGACAAAUGAAUUUGCUCAGACAACACUCUGCCUCCCGUGUUUUCCCAUAAAGUCCUCUUCACUGAAA
rnacentral:lncRNA from 1 species